UACUCCUACGGGAGGCAGCAGUGGGGAAUAUUGGACAAUGGGGGCAACCCUGAUCCAGCAAUGCCGCGUGUGUGAAGAAGGCCUGAGGGUUGUAAAGCACUUUCAGUGGGGAGGAGGGGAGAUUGGUUAAGAGCUGAUUUUCUGGACGUUACCCACAGAAGAAGCACCGGCUAGCUCCGUGCCAGCAGCCGCGGUAAU
rnacentral:rRNA from 1 species